CGUACAGAUGCGUGCAUGCAUGCAUGGGACGACUAGUUAGCAGUAGUGGUUGCAUGCACAACUGCGCCUACACGCAUCGUGGGGGGUCCACGUCACCAUGCAUGCACGCGCGCAAACUCCCCGCUAGCUAGCUCGAUCAAAAAGUGCAUACGACAAAUGGAAAACGAGAAAGGAACCUAUGUUCAUAUUGGAUAACACGAGCAAAAGUAUACUAAAAGGGACGUGGUAACGGUAGUUGGGUACACGCAAAACCAACAUCGUUACUCUUUGUUUUAGGUCUGGAUGAUGACUAUAUAGAUAUCGGUCAGAAGAAAGCACACUGUCGACCAUAUCCUGCGCUAUGUUACACGCAUGCAUGCAACAAAGGGGUCUGGUCCUGAUGGGUACUGACAUUUCUUAGUCUUCCACACGAGGUUGUCUGGGAACAAAAACUCAAUAAACAAAAGGAGGUACAACCCUGCAAGAAGCUCUCCGUACCACUCGAAAAAAUGGAGAAAAACUAAAAACAAAAUUUAAAAAAUCGAGAAAAUGUUUUCACUCUGAAGCUGUAGCAAGUACUACAGCCACGUACGUACUACAUCCCGAUCGGCUGGGCAAUAUUUUAAUAAGCACACUUUUGU
rnacentral:lncRNA from 1 species